rnacentral:rRNA from 1 species
CCUACGGGCGGCAGCAGUGAGGAAUAUUGGUCAAUGGGCGCGAGCCUGAACCAGCCAAGUAGCGUGAAGGAUGACUGCCCUACGGGUUGUAAACUUCUUUUAUAAGGGAAUAAAGUGAAGCACGUGUGCUUUUUUGUAUGUACUUUAUGAAUAAGGAUCGGCUAACUCCGUGCCAGCAGCCGCGGUAAUACGGAGGAUCCGAGCGUUAUCCGGAUUUAUUGGGUUUAAAGGGAGCGUAGGUGGGUUGUUAAGUCAGUUGUGAAAGUUUGCGGCUCAACCGUAAAAUUGCAAUUGAUACUGGCAGCCUUGAGUACAGUUGAGGUAGGCGGAAUUCGUGGUGUAGCGGUGAAAUGCUUAGAUAUCACGAAGAACUCCGAUUGCGAAGGCAGCUUACUAGACUGCAACUGACGCUGAUGCUCGAAAGUGUGGGUAUCAAACAGGAUUAGAUACCCGGGUAGUC